rnacentral:rRNA from 1 species
AUACGUAGGUGGCAAGCGUUGUCCGGAUUUACUGGGUGUAAAGGGCGUGCAGCCGGGACGGCAAGUCAGAUGUGAAAUCCAUGGGCUUAACCCAUGAACUGCAUUUGAAACUGUCGUUCUUGAGUACCGGAGGGGCAAUCGGAAUUCCUAGUGUAGCGGUGAAAUGCGUAGAUAUUAGGAGGAACACCAGUGGCGAAGGCGGAUUGCUGGACGGCAACUGACGGUGAGGCGCGAAAGUGUGGGGAGCAAACAGGAUUAGAUACCCUGGUAGUCCACACUGUAAACGAUGGAUACUAGGUGUGCGGGGACUGACCCCCUGCGUGCCGGCGUUAACACAAUAAGUAUUCCACCUGGGGAGUACGAUCGCAAGAUUGAAACUCAAAUGAAUUGGCGGGG